rnacentral:rRNA from 1 species
UUCGCCCUUAGAGUUUGAUCCUGGCUCAGGACGAACGCUGGCGGCGUGCCUAACACAUGCAAGUCGAACGAAGCUCCCGGAAGGGCGACUUCUGUCAAACGGACGGGAUGACUUAGUGGCGGACGGGUGAGUAACGCGUGAGGAACCUGCCUUUCAGUGGGGGACAACAGUUGGAAACGACUGCUAAUACCGCAUGAAGCAGCGAGGGGGCAUCCCUUUGCUGCCAAAGAUUUAUCGCUGAAAGAUGGCCUCGCGUCUGAUUAGAUAGUUGGUGAGGUAACGGCCCACCAAGUCGACGAUCAGUAGCCGGACUGAGAGGUUGAACGGCCACAUUGGGACUGAGAUACGGCCCAGACUCCUACGGGAGGCAGCAGUGGGGAAUAUUGGGCAAUGGGGGAAACCCUGACCCAGCAACGCCGCGUGAAGGAAGAAGGCUUUCGGGUUGUAAACUUCUUUUACCAGGGACGAAGAAAGUGACGGUACCUGGAGAAAAAGCCACGGCUAACUACGUGCCAGCAGCCGCGGUAAUACGUAGGUGGCAAGCGUUGUCCGGAUUUACUGGGUGUAAAGGGCGUGUAGGCGGAGGUGCAAGUUGGGAGUGAAAUCUAUGGGCUUAACCCAUAAACUGCUCUCAAAACUGUGCCCCUUGAGUAUCGGAGAGGCAAGCGGAAUUCCUAGUGUAGCGGUGAAAUGCGUAGAUAUUAGGAGGAACACCAGUGGCGAAGGCGGCUUGCUGGACGACAACUGACGCUGAGGCGCGAAAGUGUGGGGAGCAAACAGGAUUAGAUACCCUGGUAGUCCACACCGUAAACGAUGGAUACUAGGUGUAGGGAAUGAUAUAUUUUCUGUGCCGAAAGCAAACGCAAUAAGUAUCCCACCUGGGGAGUACGGCCGCAAGGUUGAAACUCAAAGGAAUUGACGGGGGCCCGCACAAGCAGUGGAGUAUGUGGUUUAAUUCGAAGCAACGCGAAGAACCUUACCAGGGCUUGACAUAUACCGGAAUAAUCAAGAGAUUGAUUAGUCCUUCGGGACUGGUAUACAGGUGGUGCAUGGUUGUCGUCAGCUCGUGUCGUGAGAUGUUGGGUUAAGUCCCGCAACGAGCGCAACCCUUAUCCUUAGUAGCCAGCGGUCCGGCCGGGCACUCUGGGGAGACUGCCAGGGAUAACCUGGAGGAAGGUGGGGAUGACGUCAAAUCAUCAUGCCCCUUAUGAUCUGGGCUACACACGUGCUACAAUGGCGUAAACAAAGAGAAGCGAGCCUGCGAGGGGGAGCAAAUCUCAAAAAUAACGUCUCAGUUCGGAUUGUAGUCUGCAACUCGACUACAUGAAGCUGGAAUCGCUAGUAAUCGCGAAUCAGAAUGUCGCGGUGAAUACGUUCCCGGGUCUUGCACACACCGCCCGUCA